GGAGAGGAGACGCACAGUCAAGGGCAGGACCAGAGGUGAUGUGGAUCUGGGCACCAACAGACAACUGGGAUUUUAAAAGCUCCAGGGACUGUAACCCACCAGGAUCCUCUGUCCAUGGAAUUUUCCAGACAAGAAUACUAGAGUGGAUUGCCAUUUCCUCCUCCAGGGGAUCUUCCCAACCCAGGGAUUGAACCUGUGUCUCUGGCGUCUCCUGCAUUGCCAGGCAGAUUCUUUACCACUGUGCCACCUGUGUAGCAGAGACUAUGCUAGAUCUUCACUAUACCUGUUUUCCUUCACCUCCUGGAUCCAUGGCAGCUCAGUCUGCCUUGGGGGAGGAGGCAGCAUGCAGGAAGGGGCAGAGUGGCUGAUGAAUCUCCCUCCCAGGCUUGGUGCCUCAUGGUUGCAAGAUGGCUGCUGCAGCUCCAAGCAUCUUGUCCUUAACACCAGCAUGUUCAAGGCAAGAAGAGGGGAGUGGCUGGUGUUAAAGAACUUUCCUCUCAGCUUUUCUCAGAAGCCCCCAAGCUGACUUCUCCUUGAAGCUCAUUGGCCAGAACUCAGGUAUGUGGCCAUGCCUAACAGUACAGAAGAAUGGAAAGGCAAUAUCUGGCAAAGUGCAAUGGGUCACCGUAUUGGUUUAGCCCAAUCGUGGUUAAUUGCUUGGGGCUUGGGGAGGAGUCCUCAGUCCCUGAAUUCAACAGCUCUUUACCAUCUACCAGAGCAAAAUUUAAGUUCCAGGUUCUGUUAGCAAGAGAUGGGGGUGGUGAGGGAGUAGAGCAGUAUAUGCCACCCAUAAUAAAUAAAUGUCACCUGUGUGACCCUCAUAUGUUACAUGUGACUGUGAGGAAGUUGAGGUUGAGCAGUGGUCACCUGAUUCUGUCUGCCUGAUGUUGCUUCCUCUUUCUUC
ensembl:lncRNA